GCUUACAUCCAUACCAGCCUGGGUACGCCCGAUCUCGUCUGAUCUCGGAAGCUAAGCAGGGUCGGGCCUGGUUAGUACUUGGAUGGGAGACCGCCUGGGAAUACCAGGUGCUGUAAGCA
rnacentral:rRNA from 1 species